AUUCCAGUUUAUCCUGCUGGAGAGUGCUGCUAUCAAAAUCCGGCUAAGCCAUGCAAGUUACUGUCGCAAGACAGGGCAAACUGCUGAGUAACACGUAGUCAAUCUGCCCUAGAAUUCAUAAUAACCUCGGGAAACUGAGAAUAAUAAUGAAUAGAUGAUGGUCACUGGAAUGUGUCAUCGUUUAAACUUUGGUUCUAGGAUGGGACUGCGGCUGAUUAGCUAGUUGUUGAGGUAACUACUCAACAAGGCAAUGAUCAGUAGGGGCGUUGAGAGACGGUGCCCCCAGAAGGAAUCUGAGAUACUAUUCCUAGCCCUACGGGGUGCAGCAGGCGCGGAAAUUCUCCAAUGCACGCAAGUGUGAGAGAGGGAUUUUGAGUGCUUAUCUUUUAAGAUAAGCUUUUGUCAUCUGCAAAAAAGAUGAUGAAUAAGGGUUGGGUAAGAUCGGUGCCAGCAGCCGCGGUAAUCCCGACGACCCGAGUAGCAUUCGACAUUAUUGGGUCUAAAACAUCCGUAGCUGGUUUCGCAAGUUUUGUGUUAAAUCAUUGGACUCAAUCCAAUGGCUGCGCGAAAUACUGCGAGGCUGGAGACUGGGAGAUGUAACAAGUACGUUCGAGGUAACGGUAAAAUGUUCUAAUCUCGUGCGGACUAACAAUCGGCGAAGGCAUGUUACAAGAACAGUUCUGACGGUGAGGGAUGAAAGCCAGGGGCGCAAAACGGAUUAGAUACCCGUGUAGUCCUGGCUGUAAACUCUGUAGAUUAAACAUUGUGACCUCCUCGAGAGGUUGCAGUGUUGAAGUGAAGGCGCAAAUCUACUACCUGGGGAGUACAGUCGCAAGGCCGAAACUUAAAGGAAUUGGCGGGGGAGCACUACAAGGAGUGACGCGUGCGGUUUAAUUAGAUUCUACCCCGUGAACCUUACCAGGAGCGACAGCAGAAUGAAGGUCAGUCUAAAGGGCUUACCUGACACGCUGAGAGGAGGUGCAUGGCCAUCGUCAGCCUGUGUCGUGAGAUGAUCUGUUAAAUCAGUUAACAGGCGAGACCUGCGUGUAUUGUUGCUAUCAUGUACUGAAGCACACUAUACAGACUGCUCCCGCAAGGGAGAGGAAGGUGCAGGCAACGAUAGGUGAGUACGCCCCGAAUCCCCUGGGUUACACGCGCGCGGCAAUGGCGAGAACAAUGAGUUGCAAUGCCGAAAGGCAAAGCUAAUCCCCUAAAUCUCGUCUCAGUCCAAAUUGAGGCUUGAAACUCAGCCUCAUGACGUCGGAAUUCCUAGUAAUCGGAUGUUAUCAACGUCCGGUGAAUAAUGUCCCUGCUCCUUGCACACACCGCCCAUCAAACCAUCCGAGUUUUGCUUUGUUGAUGCUAGCAAUAGAGGAAAUUUGGUAAGACAAGGAAGGUUAAGUUGUCACAAGGUAUCCGUAGGGGAACCUGCGGAUGGAUCACCUCCU
rnacentral:rRNA from 1 species